rnacentral:lncRNA from 1 species
UACCCAUUACCAUCUUCCCAUGGGUGGUUUGGUGGUGACAGGUUAACUUGGUAUUUGUUGGUAAAUCAAGUCUUUGAAUGUUUAUUUGCUCCUUUAGUUCCUAAACCGAGCAUGAGAAGUCACAUCCGUGUGACUUGUGUAAGUUUUUACAUCCGCCAAGUUACCUGGUGUUUGGAAAUUAUUUCUAUAUCCAUGCCAUGGUUGAGUUGCUAUAUUUGCUUCUUGUAACUUUUCUCGCUGGCAAUCAAGCACUAUCUAAUGGAAAUAAGGGAAAUUAGUAAAUUGAGUUGUCUCACAGAUGUUAUCUGUACUAACC